rnacentral:rRNA from 1 species
CCUACGGGUGGCAGCAGUGAGGAAUAUUGGUCAAUGGGCGGAAGCCUGAACCAGCCAAGUCGCGUGAGGGAUUAAGGCCCUGCGGGUCGUAAACCUCUUUUGCCGGGGAGCAGUGGUCCGGACGUGUCCGGGCCGGGAGAGUACCCGGAGAAAAAGCAUCGGCUAACUCCGUGCCAGCAGCCGCGGUAAUACGGAGGAUGCGAGGGUUAUCCGGAUUUUUUGGGGUUAAGGGGUGCGUAGGCGGGCAUUUAAGCCGGCGGUCAAAUGUCGGGGCUCAACCCCGGCCUGCCGUCGGAACUGGGUGCCUUGAGUGGGCGAGAAGUAUGCGGAAUGCGUGGUGUAGCGGUGAAAUGCAUAGAUAUCACGCAGAACCCCGAUUGCGAAGGCAGCAUACCGGCGCCCUACUGACGCUGAGGCACGAAAGUGCGGGUAUCGAACAGGAGUAGAUACCCUGGUAGUC